rnacentral:snoRNA from 1 species
GAAUGAGAUGAUGAUGUUAUCGCUUCCCUAUUGGUUUGAUUGCCAAUAUGAUGGCAAUACUGGCAUGCUCUGGCUGAUCAUUC